GAAGACACGGGGUCCGCGCGUGUGCAUACAGACACAUCUUCCUUUCUUCUACAGAGAGUGGAAGCAGGAGCUGGUUAUUGUCCGGGGCAAUGUGUACAUUUCCAGAUUCUGCUCUGUGAAUUGAAACGCCAACUUUCCCAUUAUAAACGCAUCAGUGUGAUCACCUUGACUUAUCCUGCCGCCGAGGACUUCUGCUCCAGCCAAAUGCCUCCCAGCCAAGACCCAAGGAGCUUGCCAAAUGGUUUCAUUUCUCGGAUUGUCAGAACUCAUCGGCUUCCUUUGUGUUGUGUGUUUCCUGGCAACCCCGAGACGAAGCACUUCUCACCAUUGAACCUAUUAGGAAAUGUGGUACCGCCAACCUCAUCCAGUCUAAUCCCUCGGGGUGGAUGCAGAGGGCGAGAUAGGAAAGAGAAGGUUACGAGGCUGGACCAACAUCUGCUGCACGUCUAAGCACCCUCUGAAGUCUUCCCGGAAGUGGCAUUGCAGUCACAUGGGAUCCAGGCAUGGAAGUCUACUUAGCAUAUAUAAUCCCUCUGUCUUUCUUCUCCAAGGAAAGCCAGCACAGAUGCAAACCAUCUCACAUGACCCACCUCUGUCUUUAUCGCCUUCUGACAGUUUCCACCUGUUGGCUCAAGUGAAGCCUUCUCCACGCCUCUCUGAAGUUCUUAAGCAGUGAGUGGUGUCAUCAGUAUGGCCAGAGCAGUGAGGAUCAAUGGGGCCUUAACCUGAAGCAUCCUGCAUUAGGGAGUGUUGUGGCAAAGUCACGGCAGAUCAAUUCUCUCCUUCAGAUGUCAGCAAAGAGCAGCUUCAAGAUUAUUUCGGGGAGCUAGUGUUAUAUCAGGCUAUGGGAUGGGCUUUAUGUUGCUGUUGAUUCUUAAAGUAGCUCCAAGGAGUUGGAGAGAUGGCUUAGCAGGCAAGGGCACUUGGUGCUCUUUCUGAGGACCUGAUAUUUAUUCCAAGCACUCUCAGGAAGUGCACAACCACCUGUAACUCUAGUUCCUGGGGACCAGAUGUCCCCUUCUGGUCUCUGCAGGCACCAGCAUGCAUGUACCCAUACCAGACCCAUGUAUACACACAUACUUACACAUAAAUCUUAAAAGUUAACUUCAGGAAGCAGAGGCUGAAAAGGGGCAGUGGAGCGGCUGGAUGUUUGAUGGCUUGUGCUUCUUCCUAAGAUAGCAAUAAUGCCGUUACCUGGGGAUGCUUUGGAGAGGCGAAAUCUCAACUCCCACACAGAUAUAAGUGGCAGAUGGGUCAGUGAUUUUACUUCAAUUAUUUAUUAUCCAGGAAAUCAAUAGGCUGCUACCAUUGGCUCAAAAGACCUUCAAAAGAACAGAUGAUCUAUAUGGUUUCUCGAGUGCUGAAAUGAAUUUUCUACUGGAUGCAGAAUUGGUCAGUAUCCACAGGCCCAAGAGCUCCUUGCCACGUCCUGGAUUUAGGGAUGAAGAAUCCUUGUGUCUUGCUUCAAAACUGUGUGUGAUACAUAGUCUCCAAGGGUCUGGCGCAUCUGCAGGAGCUGAAGGGAAGAAGUGGAGAAAAGCUUUGGCGUGGGCCCAGCAAUCCUGUGUAUUCCCGCUUCCGAGCGCUGUUGGCGGGAGUUCAUGCAGACAAGCCGACGUACCACAAAGGGAAAGUGCUGUUCUACUCAUGUAGCCUGGAGGAAAAGAAAACAUGUGGCUGGGGAGAUGGGUCCCUUGGUAAAAGGCUUGCCUGUGUAAAUAUGAGGACCCGAGUUCAAUCCCCAUACCCUCAGAGAAAAGCCAGCAUGGUGGCAUGAGUUUGUAAUCCCAGCACUAGGGAGCCAGACACAGGUGGACUUCUGGGGUUCCCUGGCCAGUGAGAGACCCUGUUUCAAAUGGGAGGCCAAUAUUUCUUUAAAAAUGACAUCCGUGGCUGAUCUCUACCUUUCACAUGCUCAGACAUACAUGCAUGAGAGUGCACAUGCACACAUGUGUACAUACAUACACGCCUGUGCACAUGUGCGCACACACACAUGCAUGGCAUUAUACGAGAGGGAGAAAUAAAGCUGUUUGCCAAAAAA